CGGCGAGUGAAGCGGUACCAGCUCAAAUUUGAAAUCUGGCUCCUCUGGAGUCCGAGUUGUAAUUUGUAGAAGAUGCUUUGGGUUGUGGGUUCGGCCUAAGUUCCUUGGAACAGGACGUCAUAGAGGGUGAGAAUCCCGUAUGUGGCCGAGGCCCGCGCCUAUGUAAAGCUCUUUCAACGAGUCGAGUUGUUUGGGAAUGCAGCUCAAAAUGGGUGGUAAAUUUCAUCUAAAGCUAAAUAUGGGCCAGAGACCGAUAGCGCACAAGUAGAGUGAUCGAAAGAUGAAAAGCACUUUGGAAAGAGAGUUAAACAGUACGUGAAAUUGUUGAAAGGGAAGCGCUUGCACCCAGACUUGGGCGCUGCUGAUCACCUUGCGGUCUCCGCGAGUGCACUCGACAGCGCACAGGCCAGCAUCGGUUCGGGUGGCUGGAUAAAGGCCGUAGGAACGUAGCUCCCUUCGGGGAGUGUUAUAGCCUACGGUGCCAUGCAGCCCAGCCGGACCGAGGACCGCGCCUUCGGGCUAGGAUGCUGGCGUAAUGGGUGUAAGCGACCCGUCUUGAAACACGGACCAAGGAGUCUAACAUCUAUGCGAGUGUUUGGGUGGCAAACCCAUACGCGGAAUGAAAGUGAACGUAGGUGAGAACCCCUUUGGGGCGCAUCAUCGACCGAUCCUGAAGUCUUCGGAUGGAUUUGAGUAAGAGCAUAGC
rnacentral:rRNA from 1 species